AUACGGAGGGUGCAAGCGUUAAUCGGAAUUACUGGGCGUAAAGCGUACGUAGGCGGUCCGUUAAGUUAGAUGUGAAAGCCCCGGGCUUAACCUGGGAACUGCAUUUAAAACUGGCGGACUAGAGUUGAGUAGAGGGGAGUGGAAUUUCAGGUGUAGCGGUGAAAUGCGUAGAGAUCUGAAGGAACACCAGUGGCGAAGGCGACUCCCUGGACUCGAACUGACGCUGAGGUACGAAAGCGUGGGUAGCAAACGGGAUUAGAUACCCCAGUAGUCC
rnacentral:rRNA from 1 species